CAAUAGCGUAUAUUUAAGUUGUUGCAGUUAAAAAGCUCGUAGUUGGAUUUCGGAUGGGAUUUGCCGGUCCGUCGUUACGAUGUGCACUGACCAGUCCUAUCUUGUUUUCGGGGACUAGCUCCUUGGAUUCACUUCCUGGGACUAGGAGCUGACGAGGUUACUUUGAGUAAAUUAGAGUGUUCAAAGCAAGCCUACGCUCUGAAUACAUUAGCAUGGAAUAACACGAUAGGACUCUGGCUUAUCUUGUUGGUCUGUGAGACCAGAGUAAUGAUUAAGAGGGACAGUCGGGGACAUUCGUAUUUCAUUGUCAGAGGUGAAAUUCUUGGAUUUAUGAAAGACGAACUUCUGCGAAAGCAUUUGUCAAGGAUGUUUUCAUUAA
rnacentral:rRNA from 1 species